rnacentral:rRNA from 1 species
GACGAACGCUGGCGGCGUGCCUAAUACAUGCAAGUAGAACGCUGAAGAGAGGAGCUUGCUCUUCUUGGAUGAGUUGCGAACGGGUGAGUAACGCGUAGGUAACCUGCCUGGUAGCGGGGGAUAACUAUUGGAAACGAUAGCUAAUACCGCAUAAAAUUGAUUAUUGCAUGAUAAUUAAUUGAAAGAUGCAACUGCAUCACUACCAGAUGGACCUGCGUUGUAUUAGCUAGUUGGUGAGGUAACGGCUCACCAAGGCGACGAUACAUAGCCGACCUGAGAGGGUGAUCGGCCACACUGGGACUGAGACACGGCCCAGACUCCUACGGGAGGCAGCAGUAGGGAAUCUUCGGCAAUGGGGGGAACCCUGACCGAGCAACGCCGCGUGAGUGAAGAAGGUUUUCGGAUCGUAAAGCUCUGUUGUAAGAGAAGAACGGGUGUGAGAGUGGAAAGUUCACACUGUGACGGUAUCUUACCAGAAAGGGACGGCUAACUACGU